GCAAACAGGGACAAUUUGACUUCCUCUUUUCCUAAUUGAAUACCCUUUAUUUCCUUCUCCUGCCUGAUUUGAUAGAGAAUAUGAAAAGAAAAAUGUUAUAUAGUAAAGCAUAGAUUUGAAUGGAGUUAAAUAGAAUAUAGAGUUUGUGUGAAAUUAAUCUUUACCGGAAAGGUUACUAGCCUAUUUUUAGUAUUAACAAAAUCACCUUCCAUCUCUUAUUUUUCUAAAAUGAUGAUUAUGCUUAAAUAUUUUAGUCAAAGUCACUGUGACUUUCCAGAUGGUUAGGAGAUACAUAUAUAACAGGCCCUGUAUUUUGGAUGGCAGGUGAUGGGAGAGUAUUCUGAGAACUGCUCUUUC
rnacentral:lncRNA from 1 species